GACGAACGCUGGCGGCGUGCCUGAUACAUGCAAGUCGAGCGAACUGAUUAAGAGCUUGCUCUUAUGACGUUAGCGGCGGACGGGUGAGUAACACGUGGGCAACCUGCCCUGUAGAUCGGGAUAACACCGAGAAAUCGGUGCUAAUACCGGGUAAUAUCUGAGAUCACAUGAUCUUAGGUUAAAAGAUGGCUCCGGCUAUCACUACAGGAUGGGCCCGCGGCGCAUUAGCUAGUUGGUAAGGUAAUGGCUUACCAAGGCGACGAUGCGUAGCCGACCUGAGAGGGUGAUCGGCCACACUGGGACUGAGACACGGCCCAGACUCCUACGGGAGGCAGCAGUAGGGAAUCUUCCGCAAUGGACGAAAGUCUGACGGAGCAACGCCGCGUGAGUGAUGAAGGGUUUCGGCUCGUAAAGCUCUGUUGUUAGGGAAGAAACAGUACCGAACGAACUAGGUCGGUACCUUGACGGUACCUAACCAGAAAGCCACGGCUAACUACGUG
rnacentral:rRNA from 1 species